rnacentral:rRNA from 1 species
GAUGAACGCUAGCGGCAGGCCUAACACAUGCAAGUCGAGGGGGAGGUUACUUUCGGGUAACUGAGACCGGCGUACGGGUGCGUAACGCGUAUACAAUCUGCCUUUCACUGGGGGAUAGCCCGAAGAAAUUUGGAUUAAUACCCCAUAGUAUAGUAAUACGGCAUCGUGAUGCUAUUAAAGCUUAGGUGGUGAAAGAUGAGUAUGCGUUCUAUUAGCUAGUUGGAGAGGUAACGGCUCCCCAAGGCGAUGAUAGAUAGGGGUUCUGAGAGGGAUGUCCCCCACACUGGUACUGAGAUACGGACCAGACUCCUACGGGAGGCAGCAGUGAGGAAUAUUGGACAAUGGUCGGAAGACUGAUCCAGCCAUGCCGCGUGCAGGAUGAAGGUCUUAUGGAUUGUAAACUGCUUUUGUAAGGGAAGAAUAAGGGCUACGCGUAGUUUGAUGACGGUACCUGACGAAUAAGCAUCGGCUAACUCCGUG